UAAGCCAGCAGCAGUCCCCUCCAUGGGGCACAUAUGCCGUUGGAACCAACCAGAAGCCUGGGAGCAAGCUCCAGGGAGAGGCGUCCAGUGACGCCGUGGCCUGUUCUGUUUGCAGCCUGGUGCCUCUGUGAGGAGAGCGUCCCAGGCAGAUCGGGGACCAGGAGAGAUUCCAGGGUCCUGUGCAGACCCUGACCAUGGAGAAGAAGGAGCGCCUCUAGGGGGCUUGGCGGAGUCAGCAGCCCAGGCCCGCUGUAGCAGGCUGCACUGCAGGGCCUCCCAGACAGCCAGGUCCUGAACCCAGAGCCAGUAGGUGUUUCCUUACAUGGCACAUGUGAUUAAGGUCCUGUGCACCGUGGGCGCUUCCUCAAGUCUGCUUUCCCCGGACGCAGCUCAAGGGCCCACUCAAGAGGCACCGCAAAGAGGGGACACCUACCCCCCACAUUGCUAAUGGAGGGCCAGUGUGAAAGCUAAGGGGAGUCCUGCGCAGGGGAAGACUUGGCAGAGGAGGCCUUAGGAUGCCCAAUUUCCAAGGCCGCCCAUGGGGGAGGAGCAGGUGUCCGGGCAGGUGUCCGGGCAGGGGGGAGGCCUGCUGAGCCAGCUGGGGAAUGGGAAGUCACCUGGCUCUCCGACCUUGCUUGGGCGGGUGGGCGGGGACCCUGGGAGGCUCCUGGAGUGGCAGCGUGGGGUCGUCUGGAAGAAGUGCUGGGUGGGGCAUGUGGGGACAGGCAAGGCUCCCUCUGAGCCAGUGUGGCUCAGCCAAGCGUGUGCUUCAGACCCCAAACCCACCACCCAAGCCCUUUUAAGAAUAAAAACAAAUAUUUGGGUUGCA